AUGCAUGCAGUCGAGCGACGCAUGCCCCAUUCGUAAGAAGGGGUAUGACGGANCGNCNAACGGGUGAGUAACACGUGAGCAACCUGCCCCAGAGACCGGGAUAGCCCGAGGAAACUCGGAUUAAUACCGGAUACCCUCAUCGGACCGCAUGAUCUGAUGAGGGAAUGCUUUUGCGCUUUGGGAUGGGCUCGCGGCCUAUCAGCUUGUUGGUGAGGUAACGGCUCACCAAGGCAACGACGGGUAGCUGGUCUGAGAGGACGAUCAGCCACACUGGAACUGAGACACGGUCCAGACUCCUACGGGAGGCAGCAGCAGGGAAUCUUGCGCAAUGGGCGAAAGCCUGACGCAGCGACGCCGCGUGAGGGAUGAAGGCCUUCGGGUUGUAAACCUCUUUCAGGAGGGAAGAAAAUGACGGUACCUCCAGAAGAAGCCCCGGCCAACUACGUGCCAGCAGCCGCGGUAACACGUAGGGGGCGAGCGUUGUCCGGAGUCAUUGNGCGUAAAGGGCUCGUAGGCGGCUUAGUAAGUCGGCCGUGAAAACCCAGGGCUCAACCCUGGGACGCCGGUCGAUACUGCUAUGGCUAGGGUCCGGUAGAGGAGAGUGGAAUUCCCGGUGUAGCGGUGAAAUGCGCAGAUAUCGGGAGGAACACCAGUAGCGAAGGCGGCUCUCUGGGCCGGUACCGACGCUGAGGAGCGAAAGCGUGGGGAGCAAACAGGAUUANANNCCCUGGNAGUCCANGCCG
rnacentral:rRNA from 1 species